UGCAAAAGGGAAGCCUUCUCGAAACUCUUUGCAUUUUAGUGCAUGAGUGUAAAUGUCCUGGCUUAGACGAAUCCCAUCCCCAGCUUGGAUGAGACUACAAAUGAGAGCACAGGUCUGCAGCUGGCAGAACUCUUGCAGACAGGGGCACGUCAGACAAUCUCCAGCCCAGCCAGAUGGCAGGACUGCAGGAGGAGGCUCUCAGAGCAGUUAGAGUAACCAGAAUAGUUCUCUCCCUCUCCAAGUCUUCCCCUAAGCACCUUCUCCUUUCAUUUAGCCUGUGUAAUAAAUAUAAUUGGAAACGUCCAGUGCUCCCCCAUGCAGGGAAGCAUCAAUUACUCCUCCAGCUCUGGAGUUCUAAUUUGUAACAUAGAUUAAAUUCAGCUCCGGACUGGGGAGAGAUUGCACCUUUAAGAUUUGCCACGUUGUUUAGGGAAAUCACUCACAAUGCACAUUAGGAUGGAUUUAAACGUGUCAGUAUUAAUACCGGCCAUUUCCCUGUUGUCACAUGUUGUUAGAAGAACAAUUAUUUCACGUCUGAGUAGAAAUCUUACUCGGAGGCUAAAGUUAAUGUAGCAUAUGGAGCGGCGAGGAAGCAGGCUUGGGCGUCUUGUGCACGCGGGCCGUCGCCCAUUACGGUGCUGGUUAGCAUACUCCUUCCUCCCCAUCUGUUUUCCUACAGAGGAGACGAUUAUUGUUUUGCUUAGAACAGGCUUUGGCCCCUCUGCACUCGGAAUGAUGGAACGUGGACUCGCAGUUUAGAGGGCGAAAGAGGAUUGAUCUGUGAGCCCUCUCCAAUCCCCGGCUCGGCCUCCUGCUCUCCCAAGGAUAAAUCUCGUUUUCAGAUAAAUCCAGAUUGCUUUUCCAAUAGAUUGGCUUUUAGCCUCCCCCGCUGAACCGUACUUUGACAUAACCCGACAGCCUCCCUGUGGCUGUGAAGAAAUCAUUCCUAACAUUGGAGGUUAAUUUGCUAAAUGAAGCGUUGGGUUUUCUUUCAUGGAAACAAGAAAAAUUGUUUGGAUGAGGUUAGAAAAGGCAAAGCGGCUCGGAGAACAUUCCCUGGGGCUUCAUCCCAGCACGAACCUCGAUUGGACAUUUAUUCCAGGGUUAAAUGAAUAAAUAGUGGAAAGCAGCCCUGUCAUUUCUGCAUUGGCCUUUACACAUGGAGCGAUGGUGAGGGACGGACACAGGCUGGAAUUGGCCCCCAUUGGGCAGAUGGGUAAACCGAGGCCCACAGAGCUGAACCUGGUCUGCCCCCGUCAUGCCUCAAGGUUGCCCUUCAGGGAGGGACCCUGGUCUCUCUUCCUGUGCUGUGUCCCUUUACCCUUUAGUAGAUCAGAAUCCAAGUGCUUGCAAGGGAAAGGGAACAGAAAGAGAGUUGGGAUGGGAUCAUUUUCACAUUUUUCUCUGCACAGAGGAUCCCAGCUGUGGAGACUGGGGGAUGUCAUCAAUCUCUGGUCUCAGGAUCCCUGUCAAUAUCAUGUUCUGUAGCCAGGGAACCUCAGGUUGUUUUGUGAGGCUCACCCAGUGGCCAGGACAGACGGAAUUGAUUGGACUUGUUAUUUCAUGGUAGGAUCUGAUGAGAGGUCAGGUCCCUGAGAUCUGGGAGGGAGAGGUCAAGGGUGUGGGGCAUGUGCAAGGGUCCUGGGACUGAGAGGCUGCUGUGGGCAUCCUGGCCAAGCUGCAGCCUCCAGAGGAGGGUAUCUGUGGGCAAGGAAAGGGCACACAAGAGUCUUGUCAGGAAAUUCCUGGGAAGGAGGCCUUCAGGGAGAAAAAUGUGAUCUGAAAGAGGCCACAAGGAGGGGAUCAGAGACUGACUUCAAGAACACAGGAGAUCAGAGAAGCACUCAGGGUUGUGGGCUUCUGAAAACCAUCAAGUUCAAGUUCAAGCAAUUAGAGGGUACAGAGCUGUUGGACUUGUCUCUGAUGGCAAUAUCUCGGGAGCUUUUACUUGUUUCCUCUGAUCUUUAGUGGAAAAAUAUGUGUUUUGGGUCACAUUGUGUGACCCUAACAUUCCUGUGUUGAAGAAGUCCUGAGCUCUCAUAGCUCAGAAUGCAAGCUUCUUUGGAGACGGGGUUUUUACACAGUUAUCAAGUAAAAUGAGGUGCUGCAGUGAGCCCUGGUCCAACAUGACGGGUGUCCACGUGCAGAGGGAAAGUCUGGACCCAGGUAGAAAUGGAGGACGAGGUGAGGGGCACAGGGAGAAGAGACCCUCGACAAGCCACGGAGGAGGCCCGACGAAGGCAGCCUCGCCGCACACUGGACCCUGGACUUAUGGCCUCCAGACCCCAGAAAAAGUGCAUGUCCCUCGGUGGGAGGUGUCCGGUGUGGCAGCCCUGGCAGGUGAACACAGUAGGUGAACAUAAAAACAGCCGCUGCAGCAGGAGAGGGCUGGACGUCGUGCUCCGUGGGAAAGCCAGACAGGACGGUCACGGCCGGGCAGACCUGUUUACAUGAAGCCUCAGAACGGUGAGUCCAUCGCGACAGGAAGCGGGUCGAGGGCUGCCAGGGCCUGGGAGAGGGGGACCGGGCUGUGCUUGCUGGAUGGACAGGGGUCCCUGAGGAGAGAUAAUAGUGCCCCAUGACCAGAUGGCGGUGAGGGUGGGGACAGUGAGGGGCUCAGUGCUAGUGCCCGGCCUGCUCGAAAGUGGUGGAUUUUGUUAUGGGACUUUUAUCUCAAUUAAAACAAAUGAAAAAGGCAGCCCCCUGUGUGUCACUGGGGAGAUGGGGACCCUGGUAGGGAAAGAGGAGACCCGCGGAUGCCCUGUCCCGUUCCGAAGCUCGCCUCGAGGGAGCCAUAGAGAUGAGCAUGGAAAGGGAGCAACUCGGGGCCACGGGACUCCCAGGGCUGCGGAGGAGGGAGGAGAGGCGCUGGCGCUGGUCUGCCCAAGUGGCCACGGGCCUUGCACAGGGCCCUUCAGAACACAGGGGACAGGAGGGUCCCCAGUGGCUUCCUGUGCUGUGACUGUGCUGAGCUCACAUGAAGAUCCUCCACCCCGUCUGGUGAGUCCCUGUGGACAUGUGUGCUGGGCUUCGGGGGCAUGUUGGAAUACCUCUCCUUCCUUGGGAAACUUGCAAGCUUUUGAGACUUGCCUCCCCAAACAGAAGACUCUCCCGCAAACGUCCUUGCCUCUAGGGCACAGUGUGACCGCCCGAGAACAAUCUAGAAGGUGGUGACGUCAGCAUGAGAUUCUUUGUCCUUUGCUCCCUGUGAGAGUGGGAAAGGGCAUCCAGCACUCAGGAGCUGUUGACGGAGCCCAGGGUUGGGGUCCUGCACCCCACUAUGGAGGGGUGAUCUAUGGCGUCCCACGUGGCUCUCUGGGAUAGAGAUGGCCUGUGGCCUGGCUGUGGAGCCUCCAGCCUUGAUUCUCCUGGCGAUUCUCAGGCGGCCUUUAUACCUGAGCAGACUGGGACUUUGCCAGGAGGGACCUUGGCUGAGAACCUGCCAGCCCCAUGCUGGACAGCCCGCCGGCCUUGGACACAAGGUCACAGGGGCUCCACGGGGACUGUUUGUGGGAGAGGUGGCGAGCUCCCCUGCAGCAGCCAGCACUUUCCUUUUCCCCUGAGUUUUCCUUCUCCCUGGAAAACUUUAGGCUCCUCACACCAGACCCCUCCUGCACAGCAUGGAGGGCGACGGGCUCCCUAGAGCAGAGGGGACCGCACCUCUCAGUGACAUGAGUGGUGGAACCCGAGAGCCCAGAUGGCAGUCAGGGCGAAUCUGCCCUCCUCACCGUGCUCAUGAAUUCAAAGUGCAUCUUGGAGUGGAUGUCAUCUGGGCUACUUCGUUUGCUCCACAGAAUGUCAUAUGAAUGAAGCAGAGACAUUCUACCGCCAAGGCUGAUGCUGUGGUUGGAUCAGAAGUGUCCCCCAAGAGUCCAUGUGAGGUACAUGGUCUUGCCAGAUGCUCCUGUCAUAAAGUGCUGCCUCCCUCAGGCCCAGGGGCAGCAAGGCCAACUGAUCGUGGACCCCAACCUCCACAACUGCGAGCCGAAGUGACCUUCCACACCUACCAGAUCACCACGGGGAGGUGUCCAGACUCAUACAGGCAGAGGCAGGAGCCACAGAGGUUUCGUCACCUUCCCCGUCCAGAGCUCUUCCCACAGAGACGAGUGUGCGUGUCCACGGGUAUGGGUGCAGCGUGCCUGGGGAGCCCGGGCACGUGGCCCUCCCUCACCUGCCAUUUCAUGUUCCUUGGCAACAGUUACCCAGGAUCUGAAAAUAUCACUGUAAAUGUUACCAAACCACAAUAAGAAAUGAAGACUUUCCUUUUUCUGCAGAGAGAGAU